CAGCAGCCACAAACGCCGUUGCGCGGUAUAUCAAUAAUAAUUGAAUCUGAGCAACCAGCUAAGCCGUCAGGCAACAACAUUGAAAGCGACGAAAUGUCGCUCAAGUCGCAGACAAUGUUGUUGGCAUUUGGCGACAGCAGCAACAGCAGCAGCCUCAACAACAAUAACAACAGCAACAACGAUUGUAAUUUACAGACGCUGCACGUUGACCAUGCAAUGAAUGUUGAUUUGGAAACUCGUUACAGCACCGUAGCAACAACAGAAACAAUAACAACAGCAUGUGCAUCUACAACUGCAGCAGCAGCAGUAACAACUAAGCCAGCAACAAACUUGUAUCCACAGCUGCUACUGCGCAUUGGGCAAACCGUGGCCGAUGUUGAGUCUGUAUCUCUUAACGGAGAAAUGGCGCCAGCAGCAGCAGCUGAUGCUGUAGAAAUAAAACUAGCAGCAGCAGCGUCGUCAACAGCAGCAACUAUUAUCAGCUGCAAUGUUGCCGAUGACGUUAGAAACGUGUUGCAAGCUGAAACUGUAGUCGGUGAAAUUGAAAAAGGCAGCAGCUGCAGCAACAGCAACAACGAUGACGGCGUUACUCAGUUAACGUUGGUCGAUUGGCCAAUGAGUGCUGUGACCGAAACAGUUGGCAUCUUUGCGCCUCAGCACACGGUCAAGAUACAGAUUGCUAACGAUCAGAGUUUGAAUUUAAUUCAAAGUCAAAACCCACGCCGGCUAGGCAAACAGAUAAGCGUGGUAAAGCUGAAUGACAGUCGAAGCGGCAGCGAUAUGAUAUUACAACUAAAGCAACAUCAACAACAACAAGAGCAGCAUUCACAAGCUGUGUCACCGUCUGUUACGGCGCCUUAUCAGCUUUGCUAUUUGGUGUCCAGUGGCCAAUACUCGCCCUGCGAGACUCUGGAUAGUGGUACUGGCAGUGAUUUCGAAAGCAACAAAUUGCCCAGCAGCAACGGCAAUAGCAACAAUAGCAGCAACAGCAACAAAAAUGAAGCACCCAAGCUGGAAUUGCAUCUGAAGACGACACGCAUUCGAGUGAAUACCUCGAGUGAGCAAUCUGUCAUGCAUUCGCAUUCGCAAUCACAUUCACGAGCCUACAGCUUGACAGACGAUAGCGAGGAGUGUGAUGAAAGCAGCUCCUCGCUGAGCUGCGAUUCGUUGCAUUCGAAUGAGGCACAACCGCUGCUCAAAUUGGGCGCACUGUUGCCAAGUUCGCUGCUCCGCGAUAUACGCGAUAGGGAGGUGCAUGGGAAUGAACGCAUUGUGGGUGCAACAAAAGUCGAUGGACGACCGCUGCAAUAUGAAGCGGAUCAAUAUUACAAUUUCCAUGUGAAUGAGCAUGCAAAUUUUCGCAGUUUUGUUACGGAGAGCUGCAGCUCAAUACCACCGGAAUUUGAGGCGAUCAGAUUGCCCAGUGAUGGCACAGAUCAGCAGCAGGAGCAUGGGGACGAGUUGCAGGUGCCCGAGGAAGAGGAAGAUAAUGCCUUCGCCGGUUACAAAGCUAUGCGUAGCACCACACACCAAGCAUCAACAAUACGCUCCUCUAAGGGAACCGUGCGCGGCGUCAAGAAUCGUGUGCGCAAUGGAGUAGCCACCUUCUUACAGCUGCAACAACCAAAUGUCAAAAACUAUAUGGAAAAGGAUCUGGGCAAAGUGGUGCUGUAUACAACCAGCAUGGGCAUUGUACGGGAGACGUAUGCGAAAUGUGCCAAUGUUAAGCAGAUACUGCGCACACUGCUCAUCAAGUUUGAGGAACGGGAUGUAUUCAUGAGCAUUGAAUAUCAAAAGGAGAUGCGGGAACGCAUGCAUAAUGAGACCAUAAGCGUGCCCCAACUAUUUGUUGAAGGCCAGCACAUUGGCGAUGCCGACAUCGUAGAGCGUCUAAAUGAGAGCGGCGAACUGCGCCAAUUGCUGCGACCAUAUAAGUCGCUUGCGACAGCAUACACCUGCCGGACGUGCGGUGGCUAUCGAUUGCUGCCGUGCCCCUCGUGUAGCGGCUCCAAGAAGUCGGUGCAUCGCAAUCACUUUACUACCGAAUUUGUGGCACUAAAAUGUAUGAACUGCGACGAGGUGGGCCUAGUGAAAUGCCCCAAAUGCUAAAGUCCUCAUCUAGCGCCACCAACCACCCAUCUACCCAGUCUUUUCCAUCAUCUGAAGAUUGGCAACUUGCAGCAGGCAACCGAAGCUAAUUAAAUCUUAUGCAAGUCCCACACUUGGGACUUAAGAACAGCAUCUGACCGAUCUGGCGAUGGCCUUGAGAAAGUUAUGCGAAGAACUGCACACUGAAAAUAUGUGCACACUUAAACAUAUACAUUUAAUAAUAUAUAUGUAUAUUCAUACAAAUUAUGAUAAUGGAACUCUUCAGUAAGCAAAUGAAAUAAAUUGUAAUUGCUGUAUUUUUAUGUUUUAAAAUUAGUUGGAUAUCUCCAAAUCCGUGGUACCUUUUUAGCUUUAUGGGUG
rnacentral:misc_RNA from 1 species